UGGGGAGUGGACCUCUUGUAAACUUCAGGUAAAUCAAAUACAUCAUUAUUGGGUGAACCUGUGUUGUUUUUGGUGACAGAAGGUUCAGUAAAUAAUGGUACAUAU